UAUUAUAUAUUAAAUAUUAAACCCUAUUCGAUAAACCUUACUAAGUUUUCUGUUUCAGGCCCCUGCAUACCCAGGUAUUCCAACUGGACUUGGCGGGUCAAUCCUCAAUCCGUCCAUACCGCUCGUGUACAACAUGGGAUCCGUCCAUGCUGGCAAAAUGAUCUUUAUAAGCAGUAUCCCUCAUCCUAAUCCCAGCAGGUUCACCGUAAACUUCGAGAGCGCACCGAACGGGCCGGACAUUGCCUUCCACUGCGACUUUCGGUUCAACUUCGGUGAGAACCAUAACGUGGUCGUUCGCAACACCAAGACGAGCAAUAGCUGGGGGAAAGAAAAGCGCUUAUCAGUUAUUUCCCCUUGGUUUCCAAUACCGUUUUCGAGAUGAUAUUCCUCGUGGAGAAUCAAGGCUAUAAGGUUGCAGUGAACAACAACCAUCUUCUUGAAUACAAACACAGGAUGCAACCACUGAGCAAGUUAACAUGGCUGAGAAUAGACGGUGACGUCAGAAUCACGCACGUGCGCUUUCAAUGAUAUCUUUAUAUCAUAGCAUUCAACUGAACAUCCAAAAUCUAUGGAAAACAUUUCAGUGAACUACUUAAAAUGUCGUUAUUAAGAAUGACUUUGAAAAAAGUUCAUUAUUGAAUGUAAUAUUUGUGUACCAUUAGUGUGUUUAAUAUAGACUUUUGUGUUUUAUUGAUAUACGAGUAGUUCAUCCGCAGAAUAUGUGAACUGUACGUUUAUUGUUUCGGAAGCGAUAGAGGUAAUCAUUUGUUUGGUUUGAUUUCUUUUGUUACAAAUGCCAACAGGAAAUGUUCUAGUUUUAAUGUAACGCCGAAUAUCGUGUUGUACAUAUUUAAUUUUUCAUUUGAACACACGUGCCUUUGUUACACUACCAAAACAUAUGAUCAUCAGAAUAUGGACGUCAAUGUUGGUAUGGCAUUUGUUCUCAAUAUAAAUUAUGCCACAUUAAACACGUUUUCUGUUUGCAAUAAGAGCAAUAUUUUUCACGCAAAUCAUAACCCGUUUCCUCUUAUACAUUAUUGCCAAUGAUUUAGAAUUUAGUGAUAAGGCUAACAUAAUUUCUUACUACGUUAUUUAUUAAACAUGACGCUGAUUCCUUUUGCACGUACAAUUCAUCAAAUAAGCAAUAGGUGCGCACACUUAGCGUAGUUUACAUAAAUUGCGUAUUCCGUUUCUCCGUUUUUUGUCGGACCAUGUUUCGGCGAUAAACGCAAUCUGAUUGGUUACUGUGAUUGACAGUUGGCGAUUAAUCAAUUCCGAACGGAAAUUCGACCUGAACAUGUAUGAUGCCAUAAGGCGGUUUCGCUUUUUCAUGCUUACGUUUUCAUUUUGCUCAUGUCAUAUAAACCAGCAUCUGAUCAAAUAAUCUCUACUUUCUGCAUUUCAUAUUAAACAUGUGACAGUAUUAAAACGACAUUAAAGUGGUCAUACGAUUGCUCAUAAAUAUCAUAAAACACGAAGUUGUAUUAUUCGGUGUAAACACAGUAUUUAAUUGAGUGGCAGUGGAAGCCUGUGCGUUUAGACUAGUCGUUGACCCAAAUUGCACUGUUUUUUUAACAGCGCUUUGAUGAGGACACACGUCACGUGUUGUUCUUUAAAUUGUUCAAAUGAAACUUCGUGUUUUUGACUACGAUUAUAAAACGGCUUUUAUACAACCAUGCAUAUUUCGUUUAUUCACAUACGUAUGAAUAAAACGAUCGCAUCUGUCUCGUUUUAAAGUUUGAGGAAUACGGCUUAAAAUCAAAAUGUUCGCCAGGACCACAUUUAUACUAUUUUGUAUUAGCUGAUAACAAUGGACGCAUAUAUCUUAUUUUCAAGAUAAUACCAUAUACUUGCGUCAUAUUUAUCAUCAUCUUACUACAAAAUAAGACAGCAAAGUGUAAAUAUAGAAUUCCAUUUUUUUCAAACGUGUGCGCGAUUCAUUCUUAUGUUUUUGUCAAAUAACGUUAGGCACGAUCGUAGCUGCCUGUCAAAAACGGAAAACACUUCCUACAAUAAUAGACUACAUGAUACUAGUAUAAUAACAAUAUCCAAAAGCAUAAAUUUUAUUAAGAAAAUAAAUACUUUUCGUAUUUCAGUCAAAAUUCCAUCCUUCACAGAAAUAACACUGUUUAAUGAGGACAAACGUUCUUUCAGUUACAUAUAUUCCUUAAAGUUGUGUUCACCCCUACUUGAAACGGAAGACUCGAGCGAUAGAAAAGCCACUGUCAAAAUAAUAUUUGCAUUAAUACAACAUAUAUAGCAAUACAGGUAAUUGUUUUUUAAAUAAUUAAAUAAAUGGCCGUAUACACUAUACAUUCAUUGUAGUCUAGCACAACGUGUACGUGUGUAUAAUUUAUAUUCCGCCACUUUUUCCAAGUAUAUUUACGGUAUUGAAAAUAUCUUCAAUAAGGCGAUAAAACUGUUGGCACAAUUAUUAUUUUCCUUUAUCAGUGUCCUGUUUCAAUUUUUGAUUAGCACUAAAAAAAUAAAAUAUAACAAAAUCUAUAUUAUAUGUGUUUAUUUUAAUAAUAAUUGUAGACACGGUUCGUUUUUCAAUAUGCAAGCCCAGUUUGAUAGUUAAAUCUUAUGUUUCGAAACAGAUUGGGCAUCUCAAAAUAAUCUAUAUUAAAUUAAAACAAGAUCAAUGUUUGUGAAACACAAUGCCCCCUAGUGCGCCGCUUUGAAGCCGCAUGACAGCUAUUUUAGAAAAAAAAUUACCCUUAACCUUGAAGGAUGACCUUGACCUUGACCUUUCAACACUAAAAAUUAGCAGCUCCAUGCGAUCUAUUUUCAAUAUUUCAAAACUUAUGACCAAUGUUUAAGUUUUGGGACAGACAGACAGACACACACAAUGACAGA